rnacentral:rRNA from 1 species
AAUGAACGCUGGCGGCGUGCCUAACACAUGCAAGUCGGAUGUGCCCGCAAGGGUGCAUGGCGGACGGGUGAGUAACGCGUGGGGAAUCUACCUUUUAGUGGGGAAUAACGCUCCGAAAGGAGUGGUAAUACCGCAUGUGACCAUCGGCUGGGAUGCUGAUGGUGAAACCCUGGGACCUUCGGGCCAGGGGCUAGAAGAGGAUCCUGCGUCUGAUUAGCUAGUUGGCGGGGUAACGGCCCACCAAGGCGACGAUCAGUAGCCGGCCUGAGAGGGUGAUCGGCCACACUGGAACUGAGACACGGUCCAGACUCCUACGGGAGGCAGCAGUGGGGAAUUUUGCGCAAUGGACGAAAGUCUGACGCAGCAACGCCGCGUGGGUGAUGAACGGUCUUCGGAUUGUAAACCUCUUUCAGCAGGGACGAAGGGUGACUGACGGUACCUGUAGAAGAAGC